rnacentral:rRNA from 1 species
GGCGGAAGCCUGAUCCAGCCAUGCCGCGUGAGUGAAGAAGGCCUUCGGGUUGUAAAGCUCUUUCAGAAGUGACGAUGAUGACGGUAACUUCAGAAGAAGCCCCGGCUAACUUCGUGCCAGCAGCCGCGGUAAUACGAAGGGGGCUAGCGUUGUUCGGAAUUACUGGGCGUAAAGCGCGCGUAGGCGGUGUGCAUAGUCAGGGGUGAAAUCCCGGGGCUCAACCUCGGAAUUGCCUUUGAUACUGGCACGCUUGAAUCCGUGAGAGGGUGGUGGAAUGGCCAGUGUAGAGGUGAAAUUCGUAGAUAUUGGCCGGAACACCAGUGGCGAAGGCGGCCACCUGGCGCGGUAUUGACGCUGAGGCGCGAAAGCGUGGGGAGCAAACAGGAUUAGAUACCCUGGUAGUCCACGCCGUAAACGAUGAGUGCUAGCUGUUGGCCGGCUUGCCGGUCAGUGGCGCAGCUAACGCAUUAAGCACUCCGCCUGGGGAGU